rnacentral:rRNA from 1 species
AUUGAACGCUGGCGGCAGGCCUAACACAUGCAAGUCGAGCGAGCGGCGGACGGGUGAGUAACGUCUGGGAAACUGCCUGAUGGAGGGGGAUAACUACUGGAAACGGUAGCUUAUACCGCAUACCAUCGGAUGUGCCCAGAGGGGAUUAGCUAGUAGGGGGGGUAAAGGCUCACCUAGGCGACGAUCCCUAGCUGGUCUGAGAGGGUGACAAGCCACACUGGAACUGAGACACGGCCCAGACUCCUACGGGAGGCAGCAGUGGGGAAUAUUUCACAUUGGGCGCAAGCCUGAGGCAGCCAUGCCGCGUGUAUGAAGAAGGCCUUCGGGUUGUAAAGUACUUUCAGCGAGGAGGCGUUACCCGCAGAAGAAGCACCGGCUAACUCCGUGCCAGCAGCCGCGGUAAUAC